UGUAGGUGGCUCAUUAAGUCACAUGUGAAAUCCCCGGGCUUAACCUGGGAACUGCAUGUGAUACUGGUGGUGCUAGAAUAUGUGAGAGGGAAGUAGAAUUCCAGGUGUAGCGGUGAAAUGCGUAGAGAUCUGGAGGAAUACCGAUGGCGAAGGCAGCUUCCUGGCAUAAUAUUGACACUGAGAUUCGAAAGCGUGGGUAGCAAACAGGAUUAGAUACCCUGGUAGUCCACGCCGUAAACGAUGUCUACUAGCCGUUGGGGUCCUUGAGACUUUAGUGGCGCAGUUAACGCGAUAAGUAGACCGCCUGGGGAGUACGGCCGCAAGGUUAAAACUCAAAUGAAUUGACGGGGGCCCGCACAAGCGGUGGAGCAUGUGGUUUAAUUCGAUGCAACGCGAAGAACCUUACCUGGUCUUGACAUAGUGAGAAUCUUUCAGAGAUGAGAGAGUGCCUUCGGGAAUUCACAUACAGGUGCUGCAUGGCUGUCGUCAGCUCGUGUCGUGAGAUGUUGGGUUAAGUCCCGCAACGAGCGCAACCCUUUUCCUUAUUUGCCAGCGGGUUAAGCCGGGAACUUUAAGGAUACUGCCAGUGACAAACUGGAGGAAGGCGGGGACGACGUCAAGUCAUCAUGGCCCUUACGACCAGGGCUACACACGUGCUACAAUGGUAGGUACAGAGGGUUGCUACACAGCGAUGUGAUGCUAAUCUCAAAAAGCCUAUCGUAGUCCGGAUUGGAGUCUGCAACUCGACUCCAUGAAGUCGGAAUC
rnacentral:rRNA from 1 species